AUGAUGCUUGUUGAGGGCUUACUGUGUUCCAGACACAGUCGCGUUACGCGCUGUACUUAUUUCAUUUACGUCAUUUACCAUUAUUUUUCCCCUUUUAUAGAUAAGGACACAGGCCCAGAGAGGUUAAAUGACUUUUCCCAGGAUACACAACUGCGAAGCAGUCGAGUUGGGGUAGACACCAAGGCUUCACUGACAGCAGCACUGGCGCUGGACAAUCGACCUGCCUCGGAUGGCCCUACUCAGAUAAGACCCCCACUCUCCAACCGGGCCUUCCCUGUUAGACGCCUUGUUCCAGCAGGAGCAGAAGAGACCUCAGCAGCUGGACUAGGAACCCCACAUUCCCGCGACCUCCCAGGACCAACAGCAGAGGCUGAGGAGGGGUCUCCCCUGAUGGCGUGGCCACCUGGCCAGCUGUGUGGACAGCCACGCCUGCAGUCCCAGAUGCCACCCCAGCUUGGAGCACAUCAGAGGCCUCUGAGCACCGGGCCGUCUGGUGGCCACACGCCACAAGUCAGGUAGAUCCUGCCCAGUGUAGACAGCCUCUGGUGGGCCGCAGGGGGCUUGUGACCUGAGUUGGAAGACGGAGGGCAGGUGGCCUUGGAUCGCCUCGGGGAUCUGACGGCCAGAGUUUGGUCAGGCUCUAGAGAUCUGUGCUCUAGUGGACAGGGCAAGGCCAGACGCACAACUUGGAGGCCAGGCAGCCUCUGUGUCCCCAGAGCCUCACUUGUGGGCAGGACACAGCUAAGGACUGUGCUCCCUGGUGCUGGUGUCGCUAAGACCCCGGCCCUCAGGCUCCACAUUGGGCUUCUGCUCCACCCCUUCGAAAACCCAGGUCCUGACCUCCUCUUGGCCUCUGCCAGCGAGGUCCGACCUGUCCUUUGUCCCCCCAGGGCCUCAUCCUGUCCUCUAGGCUGUGUGUGUGGGGGGGCAGCCGGCCCCCCUCUGCCCUGCGCUGUGGGGCUGCGGGGCCUGCCAUGCUCCCCUCCGCCAGGGCUGCCCCUAUCUUGGGCCACUGCUGCUUGGAUGCUCCUCUCUCCUGACUCCUGCCCCACCCUGUCUCUCAGGGCCUGAGAGUUGGGUUCUCGGCUCCCUCUCAGCUCGGUGGCCCCAGCAUCGUGACCGCUGACCUCCUGAGGAGGGAGGAAGCGGUGUCUUCACCGCAAGACAGGGCCCUCCUGAUGGCAUUGCCCCAGAGCCCUCGUGGGGACAGGGUCAGGCUCAACCCUGGGGAUCCCAGAGCCACGACUGAGGAGGGGGUGCCCAGCCUGCACCCCGACCUGGACACAGCGGCAGGAUGGCCUGUAGUGGCCAAGGGUGAGCCCCCGGGGCGGGGAAAGCCUGUGCCUCCAUUGAGGGGAUGAGGGGGGGCCCUGGGACCCCAGAGCCUGGCCACAGGGGCAGACCCCAUGACCAACAGCCAGCCGUGGCCCAGCUCAGCAGCACCUCUUCUGAGAAAGCCUCUGAGGUUCCCGGUCCUGUCAGGAUGGCGAGCCUCAUCUCUCCCAGGGGCAGCUGGCGG
rnacentral:lncRNA from 1 species